GUAGCGGUCUGGCGAGAGGAGUGGACACUCAGAUUCCCCGGGGAGUGUGGGCGGGGCCAGCCAGGCCGGGCGCAGGGGGCGUGGCUAGAGACGCCCGGGGCGGGGCCCAGCCCGAGGGACUCACCUGGCUCCACAGCGCCGCGGAUGAUCCCCAGGACGUUGGAGGAGUUCCGCAGCUCCCGGCGGUUGUGGACACUCACGUUCACCUGGCUUGGGGAGCCCGGGGGGCGACCAGAGGCUUGGCCCUGACCACUCCCGCUCCCAACCCGAUGCAGGGGAAACUGAGACCCAGAACGAGAAAGGGACACCACCAAGUCUCUGGCCCGCAGAUUUUAUUUAUUUGUCAGAGAAGGAGAGUGCUGAGCCCAGGCAGAGGGAGAAGCAGGCUCCCCACUGAGCAAAGACCCAGGCAUCCCUUAAGGUACAGUUUUAAACUGGUGGUGUCAGCUGGUGGCCCAGACCCUGUCUCCACCUUUCCUCCACCCCACCCUCUGAGGACCCUGGGACUCAGUAGAGGCUGGGGGCCCUGCUCACCGCCACUCUGCUCUUGGCCAGCCUGGAGGAAGGAAUGGGGGCAGAGGGAAAGACGGUGCACAGCCCUAGGGGUUCUCAUCUCCUCGGGCAGUGGGCCCUGAGCCCUAGUCCCAACCCUGGCCUGCUUCCUGGACGCCCUCCGGACCCCUCGCAAGGACCAAGUCCCCUAUCCCGGGAGUGUGGAUUCCAGCAAAGGAGCUGGAAAAAAGG